AUUGAACGCUGGCGGCAUGCUUUACACAUGCAAGUCGAACGGUAACAGGCCUUCGGGCGCUGACGAGUGGCGAACGGGUGAGUAAUGCAUCGGAACGUGCCCAGUCGUGGGGGAUAACGCAGCGAAAGCUGUGCUAAUACCGCAUACGAUCUGCGGAUGAAAGCGGGGGACCUUCGGGCCUCGCGCGAUUGGAGCGGCCGAUGUCAGAUUAGGUAGUUGGUGGGGUAAAGGCUCACCAAGCCAACGAUCUGUAGCUGGUCUGAGAGGACGACCAGCCACACUGGGACUGAGACACGGCCCAGACUCCUACGGGAGGCAGCAGUGGGGAAUUUUGGACAAUGGGGGCAACCCUGAUCCAGCAAUGCCGCGUGAGUGAAGAAGGCCUUCGGGUUGUAAAGCUCUUUUGUCAGGGAAGAAACAGCAGCUCUAACACAGUCUGCGAAUGACGGUACCUGAAGAAUAAGCACCGGCUAACUACGUGCCAGCCGCCGCAGUAAAAC
rnacentral:rRNA from 1 species